rnacentral:RNase_P_RNA from 1 species
GCGGUACACAAGGCAAUCGCUUGUAGUACUUAAAACAAUACAAGAGGAAAGUCCGGACUCCUAGCGAACAUGGUACCUGGGAAGAUAAUCCAACCCAUGGAGAGCGCAAGCUCAUGGAAAGUGCCACAGAAAAUAACCGCCGUUAUUUUACUAUAACGGUAAGGGUGAAAAUGUGCGGUAAGAGCGCACAAACUAGUAUAGCAAUGUCCUAGUUGGGUAAACCCUGCCAGGAGCAAGACAAAGCAGCAUGUAUUGAUCGUUCGCUUCAUUAAAGCAUGCGGGUAUGUCGCAUAGAUAAAUGAUUGCCACAUUAUAUCAUUAGAUAAUGACAGAAUCCGGCUUAUUGUGUACCGUUUCA